UGGGGAAUAUUGCACAAUGGGCGCAAGCCUGAUGCAGCCAUGCCGCGUGUAUGAAGAAGGCCUUCAGGUUGUAAAGUACUUUCAGCGGGGAGGAAGGUGUUGAGGUUAAUAACCUCAGCAAUUGACGUUACCCGCAGAAGAAGCACCGGCUAACUCCGUGCCAGCAGCCGCGGUAAUACGGAGGGUGCAAGCGUUAAUCGGAAUUACUGGGCGUAAAGCGCACGCAGGCGGUCUGUCAAGUCGGAUGUGAAAUCCCCGGGCUCAACCUGGGAACUGCAUUCGAAACUGGCAGGCUAGAGUCUUGUAGAGGGGGGUAGAAUUCCAGGUGUAGCGGUGAAAUGCGUAGAGAUCUGGAGGAAUACCGGUGGCGAAGGCGGCCCCCUGGACAAAGACUGACGCUCAGGUGCGAAAGCGUGGGGAGCAAACA
rnacentral:rRNA from 1 species